UACGGAGGGUCCAAGCGUUAAUCGGAAUUACUGGGCGUAAAGCGCGCGUAGGCGGUUUGUCAAGUUGGAUGUGAAAUCCCUGGGCUCAACCUAGGAACUGCAUUCAAAACUUAUAGACUAGAGUACGAUAGAGGAGAGUAGAAUUCCUGGUGUAGCGGUGAAAUGCGUAGAUAUCAGGAGGAAUACCAAUGGCGAAGGCAACUCUCUGGAUCGACACUGACGCUGAGGUGCGAAAGCGUGGGUAGCAAACAGG
rnacentral:rRNA from 1 species